GUUUCUGCUGGCGGUCGCCAUUUUCGCAACUUGCGAAAAAAUAAUAAUUGUGGCAAUUAAAAUUCGUCAUUGGCGAAAGAAUUUGGCGAAAGAAAUAUAUAUAACGAUUUAUUUUCAGCCAUCUUGUUUAUUUACUUUUUUCGGGUUUCUCUGACUUUACCUAUCAGACAAUACUCGGAAUUCACCUUGAACUCGUUAAGAUUUUGACAGAAAAUCAAUAAUCAGCUGAUUGCAUUCAUAGCUAUCGACAUCAAAGGACUAAUUAAUAAAGGU
rnacentral:lncRNA from 1 species